rnacentral:tRNA from 1 species
CGGGUCGUAGCGCAGGGGCAGUCGCAUCGCAUUGCAAAUGCGGAACACGCUGGUUCGAAUCCAGCCGCCCGU